rnacentral:rRNA from 1 species
GAUGAACGCUGGCGGCGUGCCUAAUACAUGCAAGUCGAGCGAACGGACGAGAAGCUUGCUUCUCUGAUGUUAGCGGCGGACGGGUGAGUAACACGUGGAUAACCUACCUAUAAGACUGGGAUAACUUCGGGAAACCGGAGCUAAUACCGGAUAAUAUUUUGAACCGCAUGGUUCAAAAGUGAAAGACGGUCUUGCUGUCACUUAUAGAUGGAUCCGCGCUGCAUUAGCUAGUUGGUAAGGUAACGGCUUACCAAGGCAACGAUGCAUAGCCGACCUGAGAGGGUGAUCGGCCACACGGGAACAGAGACAGGGUCCAGCCUCCUACGGGGGCAGCAGUAGGGAAUCUUCCGCAAUGGGCGAAAGCCUGACGGAGCAACGCCGCGUGAGUGAUGAAGGUCUUCGGAUCGUAAAACUCUGUUAUUAGGGAAGAACAUAUGUGUAAGUAACUGUGCACAUCUGGACGGUACCUAAGCAGAAAGCCACGGCUAACUACGU